rnacentral:rRNA from 1 species
GACGAACGCUGGCGGCGUGCUUAACACAUGCAAGUCGAACGGAAAGGCCCUGCUUUUGCGGGGUGCUCGAGUGGCGAACGGGUGAGUAACACGCGUGUAACCUGUCCCUGACUUUGGGAUAACUUUAGGAAACUCGGGCUCAUAUCGGAUAGGAGCUCCUGCUGCAUGGUGGGGGAUGGAAAGUUUCGGCGGUUGGGGAUGGACUCGCGGGUUAUCAGCUUGUUGGUGGGGUAGUGGCUUACCAAGCCUUUGACGGGUAGCCGGCCUGGGAGGGUGACCGGCCACAUUGGGACUGAGAUACGGCCCAGUCUCGUACGGUAGGCAGCAGUGGGGAAUAUUGCACAAUGGGCGGAAGCCUGAUGCAGCGACGCCGCGUGCGGGAUUACGGCCUUCGAGUUAAAAACCGCUUUCGCCUGUGACGAAGCGUGAGUGACGGUAAUGGGUAAAGAAGCACCGGCUAACUACGUG